rnacentral:rRNA from 1 species
UCAAGAUACUUUACAGCCUGAUCAUACCAGCUGUCUUGUGAGCUCUGAAACUAAGCAGGGUUGGGCCUGGAUAGUUCUGGAUGGGAGACCAAUGGGGAUUUACAGAUGUUGUUUCAC